rnacentral:misc_RNA from 1 species
GAAAUGCGAUAAGUAGUGUGAAUUGCAGAAUUCAGUGAAUCAUCGAAUCUUUGAACGCACAUUGCGCCCCUUGGUAUUCCAUGGGGCAUGCCUGUUCGAGCGUCAUUUGUACCCUCAAGCUCUGCUUGGUGUUGGUGUUUGUCCCCGUCUCCGCGCGUGGACUCGCCCCAAAGUGAUUGGCAGCCGGCGUACUGGUCCCGGAGCGCAGCACAUGUCGCGCAAACGAGUGCCUUGGUACGGCGGCGUCCAUAAGCCCCUCUCUCACGCUCUUGACCUCGGAUCAGGUAGGGAUACCCGCUGAACUUAAGC